GGAUUUUGAGUUUCUAAUGGAAUUAUGGUGAAUGAUAUUAGGGAUUUGGGAGAUGUAGAAUUGUUUCUGUUAAUGAUGUUCUGGAAAUCUGAUUUGAAAUCCAUUGAUUUUGGGAUUUUCUUUUGUGUGAUUGAACGGGGUGAGGGCAGAACCAUAGUAUGCUAGGAGUUUUGGGUUGAGGUUUCCUUUUGAUUUUCUUUAUGAUCACGCACAUAAGGACUGUUAGGUAGCAUGCUUGUUAGGUUUUGUGUCUUGUUUGAUGAGAAACAACUUUAAUCACUUAUUUUGGAACAUAAAACGGACUGGUCAUUUUCCUGGUAUGAACCGUGACUUUCGAAGCCUUUUAGAGCCUGUUUAGAGUGCUCGAAUAAUGUUGCGUUGAACUGAGAAAGUGUAGGCCUUUGAAAGAGCUUUCUGGAAUGAUAUGGUACAUAAUUUUUGGUUGAGAGACGAGGUCUGUAAGUUCAGUUUAGUAAACCAUGUUUUUCUGCGCUCUGUAUCUGCUAUCUCUGCCAGUGAACUUCAACGUGAUUUUUCACCUUGUUAAUGUGCCCAGAAAAUUCUUUGAUGAACUAGAAAGAGGUAAUUAGGAGGAGUAGUCUAUAGCCUUUAUUUCGAGUUGGAGUCCUUGCUCUGAUACGUAGCACUCGGGGGGGAAAUGGACGCUUGUUUUCCUUCUGUUAUAAUUUGAAUUAAGUUGUUAUUUGAGAAGUUGUUUCUGUUUUAAGUUGUGGGCAAGAUACUAUGUUUUCUUUAAGUUUUAAAGACACUGGAUUCGCUGCAUAACUAUUUGUCAAAGUGAACUAGUUCAAAGACUAAUUAACUGUCACAAGAGCAUUUAAGUUUAUUUAUGAGUUCAUCUCAAAGUUUAUGUGCUAUGUAUCUGUUACAGGAGCAUUAUGAUAAUGUUUUAAGUGAUUAUGUAAUGCCCCAUGAGUGUUAGAAUU